rnacentral:hammerhead_ribozyme from 1 species
AUCCAGCUGAUGAGUCUCAAAUAGAACGAAACGCGCAUCCUGGAU